UGCGAGCUAUAACCUAGUGGA
rnacentral:miRNA from 1 species